GGUUAGAGUGUAGAGGCGGCAGGUAGCCUAGUGGUUAGAGUGUAGAGGCGGCAGGUAGCCUAGUGGUUAGAGUGUAGAGGCGGCAGGUAGCCUAGUGGUUAGAGUGUAGAGGCGGCAGGUAGCCUAGUGGUUAGAGUGUAGAGGCGGCAGGUAGCCUAGUGGUUAGAGUGUAGAGGCGGCAGGUAGACUAGUGGUUAGAGUGUAGAGGCGGCAGGUAGCCUAGUGGUUAGAGUGUAGAGGCGGCAGGUAGCCCAGUGGUUAGAGUGUAGAGGCGGCAGGUAGCCUAGUGGUUAGAGUGUAGAGGCGGCAGGUAGCCUAGUGGUUAGAGUGUAGAGGAGGCAGGUAGCCUAGUGGUUAGAGUGUAGAGGUGGCAGGUAGCCUAGUGGUUAGAGUGUAGAGGCGGGAGGUAGCCUAGUGGUUAGAGUGUAGAGGCGGCAGGUAGCCUAGUGGUUAGAGUGUAGAGGCGGCAGGUAGCCUAGUGGUUAGAGUGUAGAGGAGGUAGGUAGACUAGUGGUUAGAGUGUAGAGGCGGCAGGUAGCCUAGUGGUUAGAGUGUAGAGGCGGCAGGUAGCCUAGUGGUUAGAGUGUAGAGGCGGCAGGUAGACUAGUGGUUAGAGUGUAGAGGCGGCAGGUAGACUAGUGGUUAGAGUGUAGAGGAGGCAGGUAGCCUAGUGGUUAGAGUGUAGAGGCGGCAGGUAGCCUAGUGGUUAGAGUGUAGAGGCGGCAGGUAGACUAGUGGUUAGAGUGUAGAGGAGGCAGGUAACCUAGUGGUUAGAGUGUAGAGGCGGCAGGUAGCCUAGUGGUUAGAGUGUAGAGGAGGCAGGUAGCCUAGUGGUUAGAGUGGAGGGGCGGCAGGUAGCCUAGUGGUUAGAGUGGAGGGGCGGCAGGUAGCCUAGUGGUUAGAGUGUAGAGGCGGCAGGUAGACUAGUGGUUAGAGUGUAGGGGAGGCAGGUAGCCUAGUGGUUAGAGUGUAGAGGAGGCAGGUAACCUAGUGGUUAGAGUGUAGAGGAGGCAGGUAGCCUAGUGGUUAGAGUGUAGAGGCGGCAGGUAGCCUAGUGGUUAGAGUGUAGAGGCGGCAGGUAGCCUAGUGGUUAGAGUGUAGAGGCGGCAGGUAGCCUAGUGGUUAGAGUGUAGAGGCGGCAGCUAGCCUAGUGGUUAGAGUGUAGAGGCGCCACGUAGCCUAAUGGUUAGAGUGUAGAGGCGGCAGGU